AGAGUUUGAUCAUGGCUCAGGAUGAACGCUAGCUACAGGCUUAACACGUGCAAGUCGAGGGGAAACGACAUCGAAAGCUUGCUUUUGAUGGGCGUCGACCGGCGCACGGGUGGGUAACGCGUAUCCAACCUGCCCACCACUUGGGGAUAACCUUGCGAAAGUAAGACUAAUACCCAAUGACGUCUCUAGAAGACAUCUGAAGGAGAUUAAAGAUUUAUCGGUGAUGGAUGGGGAUGCGUCUGAUUAGCUUGUUGGCGGGGUAACGGCCACAAGGCGACGAUCAGUAGGGGUUCUGGGAGGAAGGUCCCCCANAUUGGAACUGAGACACGGUCCAAACUCCUACGGGAGGCA
rnacentral:rRNA from 1 species